rnacentral:rRNA from 1 species
UACGGAGGGUGCGAGCGUUGUCCGGAAUCAUUGGGCGUAAAGGGCGCGUAGGUGGCGCGGUAAGCGUGCGGUGAAAGCCUGGGGCUCAACCCCGGGUCGGCCGUGCGAACUGCUGGGCUUGAGCACUGUAGAGGCAGGCGGAAUUCCGGGUGUAGCGGUGGAAUGCGUAGAGAUCCGGAAGAACACCGGUGGCGAAGGCGGCCUGCUGGGCAGUUGCUGAGACUGAGGCGCGACAGCGUGGGGAGCAAACAGG